rnacentral:rRNA from 1 species
UAAAGAUUCAUCGCUGAUAGAUAGGCAUGCGUUCCAUUAGGCAGUUGGCGGGGUAACGGCCCACCAAACCGACGAUGGAUAGGGGUUCUGAGAGGAAGGUCCCCCACAUUGGUACUGAGACACGGACCAAACUCCUACGGGAGGCAGCAGUGAGGAAUAUUGGUCAAUGGGCGUAAGCCUGAACCAGCCAAGUCGCGUGAGGGAUGAAGGUUCUAUGGAUCGUAAACCUCUUUUAUAAGGGAAUAAAGUGUGGGACGUGUCCUAUUUUGUAUGUACCUUAUGAAUAAGGAUCGGCUAACUCCGUGCCAGCAGCCGCGGUAAUACGGAGGAUCCGAGCGUUAUCCGGAUUUAUUGGGUUUAAAGGGUGCGUAGGCGGCCUUUUAAGUCAGCGGUGAAAGUCUGUGGCUCAACCAUAGAAUUGCCGUUGAAACUGGGGGGCUUGAGUAUGUUUGAGGCAGGCGAAAUGCGUGGUGUAGCGGUGAAAUGCUUAGAUAUCACGCAGAACCCCGAUUGCGAAGGCAGCCUGCCAAGCCAUGACUGACGCUGAUGCACGAAAGCGUGGGGAUCAAACAGGAUUAGAUACCCUGGUAGUCCACGCAGUAAACGAUGAUCACUAGCUGUUUGCGAUACACAGUAA